UACAGAGGUCUCAAGCGUUGUUCGGAUUCAUUGGGCGUAAAGAGCGUGUAGGCGGUUCGGUAAGUCGGCUGUGAAAGUCCAGGGCUCAACCCUGGGAUGCCGGUCGAUACUGCCGGACUAGAGUUCGGAAGAGGCGAGUGGAAUUCCCGGUGUAGCGGUGAAAUGCGCAGAUAUCGGGAGGAACACCUAUGGCGAAGGCAGCUCGCUGGGACGUUACUGACGCUGAGACGCGAAAGCGUGGGGAGCAAACAGG
rnacentral:rRNA from 1 species